rnacentral:lncRNA from 1 species
AUCCUAUUUUAAGCUUCAUUUAACUUUUAUAGCAGAGUUGUUAACCUAUGCGAACCUUACAUGGGCGGCUCUGAGCAUAUUUGUUUAUUGUAAUUAGCUGGCUCCCUCCCUCCUGUGUGCCUCGGCAGCGAGGAAACCAACCUGGCUCAAAGAGUCCUUCUCUGGAGGAGUGGUGCUGCAGGAUGACAAAUGAGCCAGGGGAGGGGAUCUAAUAACAUGAUCUCCUUGUGGUGUGAAAAGGGUGGCUGGUAGAUUAAGACAGACGGCAGACAAUAAGACAAAGAAUUUGACCUGUCCUACUUUCAUGAAGAGAAUGAAUAUUCCCCAGCAACUAGAGACAAGCUGGAAAUCUAAGGUUAG